CAAACCUUUCCUCGCGGGAGAAAGAGCGAAUCCCAGUUGAGACCCCACGAAUGAAGACCCUGCUGCCUUCAGACACGGCACCGUUAAGCCCUCAAGCUUCUUGACGUUUGUGGUGGGAGCUCCAUUUUCCAGGCUGAGAGGGAAGGAAGCCAGGCCCACACACAGCCUUCUAAGCCAUCAGCUUUGGAGUGCUCCCCUAGGAUGCCAUUCCUGACUCAGAUCAAAGUAGAUGUGCGUAGGAAUUCACUCAAGCAUCCAGUUGUUCCCCCAAAGCUCCCUUGUGACCCUGGCUUUUUUCUUCUGCCCGAAGACUGCACUGGGACUUGGGUUACCCUUUAACCACCUGGACCUGCAGCCUGGAGUUGCUCGGUUGGUUAUGGGGCCUCGGGUGGCUUGUGACUAUCGCCUGCAUUACGAAUGCCAAGUUCACUGAGUCAGCGUGUGGCCUCGCAGGAGCACCUGCUUUCACGGAUUCCACAAACAUUCUGUUCAACCCCUGCCUGCCGGAGCUCUGCACCGAGAUUCCAGAUGGUGCCCGGGGCAGGAAGGUUCACCAAGGCUGGGAACUGCAGGUGUGGGCGGAGCAGCCCGAGAGGCUCUGGUGCCUCUGAUGACGGAGGUUGGGAGAGAGGGCCACCUUGUCCCACUGUGGGACCUGAAAACGCUCAUGCCUGCAAGUCCCACAGGCACUGGGGACUUGGAGAGGACAAGCUUGAUGUCAGUCCUGGGUGUCACCCCCUUCCCUCCGGUCAGAGUGUGUGUGGUUUCUUACCCUCUGCAUCCUGGGUCCUGUACUCAGCCUGUGACGGCCGCAUCCCAUACGGGUGCUGGUUUGAGUCCCGGCUGCUCCACUUCUGAUUCAGCUCCCUGCUAAUGGGCUGGGAAAGCAGUGGAAGAUGGCCCACAUGCUCCACAUGGGAGACUUGUAAGAAGCUCUUUGGCCUGGCCCAGCCCCAGCCAUUGUGGACAUCUGGGGAGUGAACCAGUGGAUGGAAGAUCUCUCUGUGUCUCUCCCUCUCUCUCUAUA